rnacentral:lncRNA from 10 species
GCCGACCUGGCAGGCAGAGCCUGGGAGGAGGGGAGGGGAGGGAGGCAGCGCGAGCUGGGAGGGCGAAGGUGCUUGCCGCGGCCCAGAACGGCCCCGGACCCGGGCCGACGGGGCUGCUUGCUGCCGCUGCCGCUGCCGCUGCCCGACCAAGAAAAGUGGCGAGGGCCGUGCCGCGUCGGCCCUGGGCAGCAUUUAAAGGCCUCCGGGGCCCGGCUCGGGAACCGGGAACAGGGCGGGGACCCGGCGGGGCUGCCGCGGCUUGCUCAGCGGGCCCUGCCCCUCGGCCAUUGGACGGUGGCGGAGGCCGGGGCGGGAGGGACGGGCCUGUCCGGGUCCGGGAGGGCGGGGGCCCUGUCGGCUCUCACCGGCCAGAGGGUGGGCAGGGCCGGGGCUGGAGAAGUGAGGGCCCGAGCCGGUCAGGUGACAGGUGCUCGUGCCACCCGCGCCCCUCCCUCCAGCCUCCUUCCUCCUGCCACGUCCUGGGCGCUGGUGGGGCGAUGGGAGGCGAGGUCGAGGGAAGAUUGGGUGCUGGGGGUGGUAUUCCAGAGUGGGAGACUUGGCAGGAUUUCUUUCAGAGAAUUCCAACAAAAUCGGGGGAAGGAUUCAUUCUGCUCUCUAGGGCAGAAAGAGAAUGGAAGGUCUGAAGGCUUGCAGAAAUAAAUGUGUGACCUGAAAGAACGAAGCAGAGAGGACUCAAGGUAGGGACCUUUCUAUCCCAGGAGGCUAGAUACAGAAAGGUCGCUCUUCCCUGUGGAAGGACAGGCAGGUCUAGGGGUCCCUGGACUCUCUCGAGCAGGAGUCAAAGCCUUACCAAAUCAAAGUGGGCGCAGUCACUGUCCUCAGAGAGCCUCCAUUGAGCCCUGUUUUUAACAAGUCACUUGCCCAGUCUGGGGUAGUCAGCUUCUCACUGAAAAUCUCCUCAUACCCUUUGUGGAGUACUUCCCAGGGGAUACACACCUCUUUUAUUCAAGCCAGAAAUUCCUUUAUGGCAUUUCCACACUAGGACGAUUAUGUAACUUCUCAGAUAAAGCUGUAUCAACAUAUCCUCUAUUAGGUGACAUCCUUGGCUGAAACAUUCCAUUGCAUGAAUCACCGGGGCGUUCUAUGCUAAUAAGCAGGGAGCAUGUGUGACCUACUGCAGUCCCAGAGGGCCCCUCAGAGGCUCCUUUUUUUUUUUUUUUUUUUUUUUUUAAAUUGAGACGGAGUCUCCCUCUGUGGCCCAGGCUGGAGUGCAGUGGCGCGAUCUCAGCUCACUGCAACCUUCGCCGCCCGGGGAGGCUUCUUUCUUCUAGUCACUGCAAUUGGCUGUGUGGCCUAGAACAUCAAUGUGGCUUUUGUGUCUUAGUUUUCCCUUUAUGGACCAGAGCUAAUGAUGGUAAUCUCAGUUGAGCAGGGAGAAUUACCUGCACACGCCUGUAAGCCUCACUCAUAUCCUCUGGAAGUGGUUCUUGAACUAGAUAGAGGCUAAAGCGCAGUACGCUUGUGGCUGCAGCACACUUUGUUUACCAGUCUUAGCUCAAAAUCACACUUUAUUACUUUAAAAUGUUAGGCACUUAUAGGAAAUGAUUGACAUUUGAAAGCAUACUUUAGUAUGUAUCAAUUUCUGAGAGUCUGGUAUAGAGAAGAAGCAUUAAAGUGCAGUAGUUCUUUAUCAUUAACUGAGUGACACAAU